ACUAAAGUUGGUAAAUGGACACAGGAAAAUUUACUUGUGACUAAUCAUUUCCUUCUUCCUCAAACCCCCCAAAAUUCCAUACCUACACAAAACCUAAAUUAAACCCCACCAAGUUCAGGAGAUCACCGCCGUAUCUCCAGCGUGUGUUUGCAACGACCACCGCCAAUUCCAACUUCCACACAACCCUAACUAGUUUUAGUUACCACGUAUCAACGCUCUCCUCUCAUCUACUCUCCUCCGCAGCGCAAAUUAAGCGUAUGAUUCAGUUUGAAGCAAGCUAGAAUGAGAUUACUCAGAUUGAUUUUCACUUUCCUCCUCCUCCGGAUGCAGGCAGGCUAAUUCGAAAACAUCUUCAGUGGAGACUUUGAGAGAUCUAAAGUCAAAUGGUUGGAUGUGCUUGCUGAUUGGGGCUGUUAUGGGGAUAAUAGAGGUCAAGACUACUAGGAAGCCAAAGAGAAGAUUAUUCAGGUUCUGUUGGUCGCGGCUUUAUAUUCUUUUAGAAGGGGAUGGGGCAAAGGGUUGUGAUUCUUUUGUUGUGUGAGUUUUGGUGUCCAUACAGGUUCCGAAAGGGUGGGAGGGGUAUGUUUAACUGGGCUGCGGUUAAUAUUCGGUAUAUAGUGUGUUGGUACUAGCAACUUAGUUCCCGGAUGUUCAUUUUUCGUAUAUGCGUUCUUUUUCGUGUUAAUUUCAUUUCGGGUGGGAAUCUUUAUUCCAAAAGCUUUAGUGGUGUAUUGGGUCAAGAUGGCCGAUGCAUAAAGUCUAGAUUAUGUUGAGGACAAAAAGGAAGCUAUAAGCUGGAAAUAAGGUUUUUAAUGAAGAGAUUCAGAGGAUAUGAGGUAUUCAGAAGGAUAUAUAGUGUGGUUGAAGGAAUUGAGAAGGUUUACAAGAGGAACCCAAGUUAUAAGAUGUGUAUGUACACCUAAAGAUCAUUGAGAUGUAGUUAAAGCAGCAACAGUUUAGUAUUCCUAAGUGUCCAAUAUGUGUUCCCAGUUUAGCAUUCUUUUAUUUAUUAAUCUUUAGUAAGUUGUUUACAAAUAUAAAUGAUUACUAACUAUAUAUUUAUCUUAUUUAAAAAGACGAGAUUUCAAAUACACAAUUGAUGAAUAUUUGUUAUUUAUUCAACGUUUUUAUCAAUUUAUUGGUGGGUAAACAUGUCUACAUGAAUCUACUUUCACAGCAGGGUUAUAUUUUUUAUUUUAUUUUAUUUUUUUUUUACAAAUUUGAGCUAUAUAAUUAUAACGCACAAAAAGUCUAAACUUAGUUAAUUUUUUUUGUCAAAUUUCAGUAAAAUGACUAGAAUACCCUUCCAUUUUAAAAUAACCAUUUAUUUAUCUCGUUACUCUAUUUUUAAUUCUAAGGACCAUUUGUGUCAUUGCUCUAUUUAAAAGGAUCAUUUAAAAUCUUCAAGUGUUGGCUCUGCAAGCAAAACUCGUACCGUGAAGAGCUCGUAUCCGCCGCUGAAAACCACAACACCAAUCAACAACACGACGACGCUAUUCUAGUUCCGUUAAUCCACAGAAUUGUGCGACACUACGAGCAGUACUACCAAUUCAAAUCCAAUUGGGAGACACGAGAUGCGAUCUCCAUGUUUACUCCAACGUGGCAGAGCAAGGAGGACGCGUUUUUAUGGAUCGGUGGAUGGCAACUGACGUUAGCGAUCCAUUUACUCUACUCCAAAUCAGGAAUCCAGUUUGAAGCCAAAAUCGGAGAUCUUAUUCGUGGAUUGACCACUGGAGGAGAUCUAGGAGAGUUGACGCCAAAUCAGAUCAAACGAAUAGACUAGUUGCAGAGGAAAACAAUCCGUGAAGAACGAGUGUUGAGUGAAAAACUAGCCAAGCAACAGGAGUCGGUGGCAGACAGGUAAAUAUGAACAUUUCUGAACCCAAACCGAAUAAAAAAACGAAUUUUAUUAUUUUUUAUAGUUUUUGAACUAUUUUAGAAUAAAAAAAGUGUUCUAUUAAUAAAUUUUUCAAAAAAUAACAUUUCGUUUAUAUUGGAAACCAUAUAUGGCAUUGAAUAGUUUUUAACAAAACUGGUAUAAAUAAUCCCUGUUAUAUAAAUAUUUUUAAUUUCAUGGGGAAGUUGAGAAUAUUUUGUAGUCCUUUUAAAUAGAGCAAUGACAAAAAUCGUCCUUCGAAUUAUAAAUAGAGUAAUGACAUAAAUGGUCCUUUUAAAAUGGAAGAGUAUUCUAGUCAUUUUACUGAAAUUUGACAUAAAAAUUAACUAAGUUUGGUGUUAGUACCAAAGGUGUUACAAAAUUGAAACCAUGAAACCCGAACCUGUUAAAAAAAGUUAGUACCCAAAGGCGAAACUAGCUAUAGACUGCAGGUCCAUCUUUGUAAUUAACUCUAAACAAAAUCACUUGAUAAUCGAGCAUUGUUUGAAGUAUAUUUUCCCUUUUAGUGAUAUUUUCUGAUUUUAACUUUUUUUGGUGCAUAUUGCAAGCGACCCAUACUUCUUGUCUCAUGGUUUGAUUGCUGGUUAUUUGUCUUAUCGAAUUGGGUAUUGUGUUAUUGGUGGAUCAUGAAACUGUUCUUAGGGAUCCCAAUUUUGCAAGCAUCCUUUUCUUCUAUGGAGUUACCAAACGACAUAGAUCCUUUGUUCUGCCAUGAUUCUUUACUUAACUGUUGGGAAGAUCAAACAAGGCGUAACGGCUCUCAUCUUUCUUUGUUUUGGACAAUUUGUUAUGCAUAUGGAUGGCCGUAUAUGUGUUUAGGCCUAUUAAAGGUACUAAAUGAUUGUCUUGGUUUUGCUGGACCUUUGCUUCUUAAUAUGCUGAUUAAGUAUCUUCAAGAAGGCCUGCUCUUGUGCAAAUACAUUAUAUGUUAUAGUAGGAGCUGGGCCCACAGGAACUGGGAAUUUUAAUGGCUAUCUCCUCGCCAUUUCUCUUAGCUUGACUUCCAUAUUGAAGUUCUCAUGGAAUUUCCUCAAGUGACCAUGACUUUGCCUGAUGGCCUUGAAGAAUCUAUCAUGAAACAUACCACACUUGUUGCUAAUACAUCUAAUAUGCCUGUCGCUGCUCGUGAGGCUUCAAUUUAUACGGAGAAACCAAUAAAGAUGUUUAAUUCCUAUUCAUGUACACAUGUAGCGUAGUGGAUAGCAAUGUAUCGCACUAGGAGAUGCUGCUGCUGUUGUUGCAAGUGCUGCUAAUGCAGGUUGAGACACAAGUGCUGCUAGGAGUGAUGCAGAUUAUCUUGCAGUUGUUGUAUCAUUUGUAGAUAAUAUUUGAUUAGAAGUUUAUGUACGUAGUAUUGGAAUUGAAAAUUUAUGUAUGGAUUUUGGUUUAUUAUAUUGUUAAUAUCAUUAGUUUUGUUUUUA